GGUGGCGGAGCGUCGUUUGCGACGCCCAACACACAAAACAAGCGGUGAGUGCUUUGGGGUGGGGUGACUGCGUACCUUUUGUAUAAUGGGUCAGCGACUUAUAUUCUGUAGCAAGGUUAACCGUAUAGGGGAGCCGGAGGGAAACCGAGUCUUAACCGGGCGUUAAGUUGCAGGGUAUAGACCCGAAACCCGGUGAUCUAGCCAUGGGCAGGUUGAAGGUUGGGUAACACUAACUGGAGGACCGAACCGACUAAUGUUGAAAAAUUAGCGGAUGACCUGUGGCUGGGGGUGAAAGGCCAAUCAAACCGGGAGAUAGCUGGUUCUCCCCGAAAGCUAUUUAGGUAGCGCCUCGUGAAUUCAUCUCCGGGGGUAGAGCACUGUUUCGGCUAGGGGGCCAUCCCGGCUUACCAACCCGAUGCAAACUGCGAAUACCGGAGAAUGUUAUCACGGGAGACACACGGCGGGUGCUAACGUCCGUCGUGAAGAGGGAAACAACCCAGACCGCCAGCUAAGGUCCCAAAGUCAUGGUUAAGUGGGAAACGAUGUGGGAAGGCCCAGACAGCCAGGAUGUUGGCUUAGAAGCAGCCAUCAUUUAAAGAAAGCGUAAUAGCUCACUGGUCGAGUCGGCCUGCGCGGAAGAUGUAACGGGGCUAAACCAU
rnacentral:rRNA from 1 species